rnacentral:rRNA from 1 species
GACGUAGGAGGCGAGCGUUGUCCGGAUUCAUUGGGCGUAAAGAGCUCGUAGGCGGCCUGUCGCGUCGACCGUGAAAACCCGCAGCUCAACUGCGGGCUUGCGGUCGAUACGGGCAGGCUCGAGUUCGGUAGGGGAGACUGGAAUUCCUGGUGUAGCGGUGAAAUGCGCAGAUAUCAGGAGGAACACCGGUGGCGAAGGCGGGUCUCUGGGCCGAUACUGACGCUGAGGAGCGAAAGCGUGGGGAGCGAACAGG